UUGUGUCUUUUCUGCGGUCAGGGACCCUGCCCACCCAUAGACCAUCUCCAGCAGUGAACUGGGGCAGAGGCAAGAAGGACAUGGAAGAGGAAAUCAGUCAUCGGAUAUGGGGGAGGGAGGUCUGGGUGACCGGUGGUGUGGGGAUUUGAACCCAGGGCCUUGUGCUCGCAAGGCAAGCACUCUACCAAAUGAGUUAUGAGUUAUAUCCCCAACCCCCUAACUUUGAUUGGAAGUCCACUUUAUCCAAUGUGAGGAAGGAAACCCCUGCUUGUUUACGCAGUCCAUCACUGUGGAAAGAACUCCAGCUCCUGAGCCAGAGAUGCCUGGAUUGGAAGCUUUUGCUGCCUCUAAGCUGUGUGAUCUGAAGGGCUGCCAUCAUGGGAGCAGCUUGCUCCACCAUGUGCUCCCCACCUUGAUAUCUUGCCUGUUGACAGGUUCAAAAGCAACAGGGCCAACCAUUCAGAUGGAAACCUCCAGAACUAACCCGGAGGGAAAGAAACGAUGGCCAGUGGGAAGCCGACACUUGACUCCAAAGGCAGAGGAUUCUGGCGAGUUGGAAUGAAUUUAAAAGCCUUUAAACUCAUUCUUCCGUGGAAAUGUAGUGGAAUAUGGGUCUUGUUUUGCUUAUGUGGUCCCUCCAUGUCAAGACUUGAGGCUCAGUUCUUGAAGAAGAAAGAUUUAUCCACUUUACCCCUCCCAGAGCCAGAGGACUCUUUAAUCAGGUAGUCGAACCGAGAAAAAGAGAGCUAGUUUCGGUGCCUGGCACCGGUGACCUCAACACGCGCCAGGGCUGGCGCCACGUGGGCAGGAGGGGGGAGGGGUGACUGGGGAUGUUCCAUCCGGGACUCAGCCUUGGCCUCCUUACUCCAUCUCCGCCUCUGCACAGACCUCCCAAACCAGGUGCCUCCUCCUUCAGCCCGGUCGACAUUCACCACUCUGACGGAUAUGGUGACAUUCCCCAUCCCUGGACAAGUGAGGAGGAGGACAGGGAGAAGAAAGAAAAGUGGUCUUAAAUAUUUUUCCUUCAAGGCAAUGUAUUAAUUCGUUAAAAUUAAUGAAUUUAAAAUGUUUUUAUUGAGCUUCUCCUAUGGGCCAUACCGUCCUCACAGUCACUGCACCAGGACUGGGGCAAAUGGUAAAUAUCUAAUGACAUAAGAGGCCCCAGUUUUUAACUACUGUUAUUAAUGCUGCAUAUUUUCAGUAUUAAGUGCACUUGGCUGCCACUCACUAGGGUUCUCAGGUCACAAUGUUGAUGAUGAUGACGAGGACGACAGCAGGCGGGUAUUGCACAUUCUGUGUCUGCUGUGUAGCAGGGGUCAUGUUAAAUGCAAUGGACCCCUUAAUUCUCACAAGUCAGAGUGCCAAGCUACUACUCUCCAUUUUGCAGGUAAUCUGACUGGGGUUCAGAGACAUAAGUUUGUUGACUUAAAGACACACAGAGCUGGGCGUGGUGGUACAUACUUGUAAUCCCAGAAACUGGAUGGGAGGAUCACAAGUUCGAGGUCAGCCUAGGUAACUUAGUGAAACCCUGUCUCAAAAUAAAAACUUAGGCAACUUAGCAAAACCCUGUCUCAAAAUAAAAAAUAAAAGGGGUUGGGGAUGUAGCUCAGGGGUAGAGCACUCUUGGCAUCAAUACCCACUACCCCCUCACCCCCAACAAAUUUAAAAGAAAGAAGAUACACAGAAAGUAACAGGCAGAACCAGUUCUGUCUGGGCUCAUAGUUCCAGUUCCUUCCCUGCCUCCUUGAGGAAAAGCAAUGGUCUAAAUUUGUCUCAAAGAGAGUUGCACUUCAACUUUCAAUAAUAAUAAUUUUUUAAAAAAAUAUUGUUUUAGUUGUCAACUGAUCUUACUUUAUGUAUUUAUAUGCAGUGCUGAGAUUCAAAUCCAGUGCCUCAUUCAUGCUAGGCAAGUGUGCUACCCCUGAGCUAUAGCUCCAGUCCUCAAUAAUAAUAAUUUAAUAAUAAUUACAAAUCUUACUCAUUCUAAUACUAAUAAAGUGCAUACUUUCCAUGUUCCAGGUGCUGUUCUCAGCACUUUGCAUAUUUUUUAUAAAUGAGUCCUUAUAACAGCACUUUGAGACUGGUGCUGUUACUAUUCCCAUUGUGCAGAUGAAGCAACUGAGGUUGACAUGGGAAAGAGGUCAGGACAAUGAGGUAGAGGUGGAUUUGAGCUCUGCCCUAACUUAUGUGUUGUGUGAACUUGGUCAGUUACUUUAAUCCCUAGGAACCUCAUUUGUCUCAUCUGUGGAAUGGAAUAAUUACUGUGCUCUCUCUCUCUGAGCUAUUGUAAGGACUGAUGCCAAGGAAUUGUGAGGGAGUGCUGUAAACCCUAAGAUGCUGUACUAGUCUGUUUUCUGUUCCCAUAAUAAAAUAUUUGAGGCAAUUCAACCUUAUUAAAAAAAGAGGUUUAUUUAGCUCACAGUUUUGGGAAUUCAAGAGCUUGGCACCAACCCAAAUUGACUUUGGUGAGGACCUUGUGGUGAAUGGCGGCUGUCAGGAGUGUGAUUAGAUGGAAGAAAUGACAUCUUGAAGACCAGAAAGCCAGAGAGGCUGGAAUCCCACAAUUCCUCCCAAGGGCGUGCUACCACAGACCUAAGGGCCUCACACCAGGCUGAACCUCUUAAAGGGUCAAGCUUCCAACACAGGAACCACUGGGGACAAAUAGCAUCCAAAUCACAGCAGAUCCCUUAUUUGAGACAGCUCUGGAUCAUUUGGCUGCUUUCAUUGGAAGGAACUGAAGCUUGCAAUGAAGCCACAGUGAGGUUUUACUACGAGGAUGCAUGUGUUAAAAUGGAGACCAGAAUCAGACUUGGUUCCAAGAGCUACUGAAGCGUCAGACUGAGGCACAGUUCAGGGACUAGAAGAGCUUUCUACUCACUGGGUUAUUUUAAGCCCUCAGUAGGAGUUUGCAGAUAUGCCAUUUUAAGGUAAUAUAACAUCUCCUAAUAUUUGCUUUGUCAUUCCUCCUAUUACUGACACCCUUCCUGCUUCUGUGCCCUACUCUCCCACGUAUCUUUCUCUGCCUGGUUAUUCCUGCUUCUGCAUAACUUCUGUUCACUUACAGCCUUCAGAAUUAGGCUUUCUUCACCAAAUAUUCCAGGUCUAAUUCCUGAGAGGUAGAAUCCAACAAGCUCCAAGGGCUCCACUUUCUCUUUUUUAGUGAAACUUUUCCCACCAGACCAGCUCACAGGUCAAUGUCCACCUCUGAUUCAAUUACCUGUAGCUGGAGGACAUGGCUGUGGCUACACUAAGUGCUGUCUUUGAUCACUCACUCACACGAAAGCCUGCAUGUUGUGAGGGUGCUCAAGCAACGCUUUUGGGAGGUCCAGGUGGUGAGAAACCUGUGCCUCCUGCCCACAGCCAGCACCAACUUUCCAGGCUUCAGAGAACACCUUGGAAGCAAGUCCUCUAGUCCCUCAGUCAAGCCUUCGGUUGGUUUAUCUCCAGUGGACAUCUUGACUGUAACCUUACGAGAGACCCUGAUCAAAAAUUGCCAGUUAAGCUGCUCCUGAAUUCCUGACUAUCAGGAACUGUGAGAGAUAAUAAAAAGUUUAUUGUUUCUUCAGGCCAGUAAAUUUCACAGGAAUUUGUCGUGUGGCAAUAGAUAAAUAAUGCUCAGUGGGUUUUGAGGAAAAUAAGCAUACACUUGCAAGACGCCAGUGGAAGCAUUGUAAGAUCUUCAAGCAAGGGGAGGUUAGUCUCCUAGAUAUAGGAGGAGAUACUGCUCCUUCCUACGAAAAAGAGGCUCAGAAAGACAAGGGUUUACGAUCCUCAGUUCGUCUGGGUUCACCCAGAUAUCCUAUUUCAAGUGCAGAGUGCCCCUCCUUCCCAAUCAGGGCCUUAGUUUUAACACAUGGGACUUGGUGAAUUGGAGGAUUCAACAAGUCGUCAUUUAGCCACUCAUACAGUUUAAUUCAGGUUUUCCUACGAAUCUGGUUUUGGUUGCGAGAGAAACUACAGCUACAAGAAAUAAUAAUUUAUUUAGGGCUGCCAUCAAAACUUCCUGGUUCUCCGAUCAUGACUUUAGCUGAAUAUUUAGAGCUCUGAGUUUAUCAUUUUUAAAAUCUUUUCAGUGCAAUUAGAGGCAACCACCUCACUGUAUGAUCCUUGGAGUCAUCGCUACUACUUUAACAGUCAAGGGCAGCAGCCAACUUGGGCCCAACGGAACUGUUUCCGCAGGGACUCCAUCAUGACCAGUUACAGGUGAUGAUGUGAUUCAUCAAGAUGCCCCUGCCCACGACUGGUUACUAUUACUCACAUCUCCUUCCUCAGGGCUCCAUCACUGCCUUCAAAGCCAAAGGACAUACCCAAACCGGUCCCGUAAUUCUAUCUUUGAGGAUCAAUUUCCAGAGGUUAAAAAAAAUCACAUGAAUUUUCUUAUAUUAAAUAUUAAAUUAUCCUUUUGAAAGGAACUUAAAGAGUUGGACACAGUGGGGCUUGCCUGUAAUCCCAGCGACUUGGGAGGCUAAGGCAGGAGGAGCUCUCAGGUCAAUUUGAGACCAGCUUAGAGAGGCCCUAAGCAACUUAGAAAGACCCUGCCUCAAAAUAAAAUAUAAAAAGGGUUGGGAUGUAGCUCAGUGGUAAAGCAUUCCUGGGUUCAAUACUCAGUACCCCCCACAACCCCCCCCAAAAAAAAGACCUAAAAGGCAAAAAGGGGAUGUUAAGGUAUCAAAAGGUAGUAACUGCAGAAAGCAUACAUUACUCUUGGAGGCUUAUUAAGCAAAGUUAAGAAGGUAGAGUUAUUGGAACCUAGACUCCUGGAGGAGGGCCUCUGUGGAACUGGAACUCAGAACUCAGAGAAGAGAGUCCUGCCAGCUGAUGUGACAUGGUGGAUCUGAAUGGAUGAGCAGGAUGCAAUGAGGUUAUUUCAGGGAAUGUUGGGAGGGGCUGGAAAGUGGGUCCGACUAUCGCUGCUGGAAUGAAGGGCUACUACUGGUGUGACGCCAACAGGAAACAGCAAAACAGGACGAGUGCUCUACCGGAAGCCCCUAACAGCAAGUCAACUGGCAAGGGAGAUAGUAGUUUGCAGAGACUCAGUCCUACGUCCCAGGCAAGGUGUGGCAGGGUGAUUUGCUGUUAAGAAACACUUGUUUGGUUCCACAAUCUGGCUAUUGUGAACUGAGCAGCUAUGAACAUUGAUGUGGCUAGAUGUCCUUCAAUUGAUGAAUGGAUAAAGAAAAUGUUGUA